UACGUAGGGUGCGAGCGUUGCCCGGAUUUAUUGGGCGUAAAGGGCGCGUAGGCGGCAUGACAAGUCACUUGUGAAAUCUCCGGGCUUAACUCGGAACGGUCAAGUGAUACUGUCGCGCUAGAGUGCGGAAGGGGCAAUCAGAAUUCUUGGUGUAGCGGUGAAAUGCGUAGAUAUCGUAAGGAAGACCAGUGGCGAAGGCGGGUCUCUGGACAGUUCCUGACGCUGAGGCACGAAGGCCAGGGGAGCAAACGGG
rnacentral:rRNA from 1 species